rnacentral:rRNA from 1 species
CCCUUAGAUGUUCAGGGCCGCACGCGCGCUACACUGAUGCAUUCAACGAGCCUAUCCUUGACCGACAGGUCCGGGUAAUCUUUGAAUCUGCAUCGUGACGGGGAUAGAUUAUUGCAAUUAUUAAUCUUCAACGAGGAAUGCCUAGUAGGCGCAAGUCAUCAGCUUGCGUCGAUUACGUCCCUGCCCUUUGUACACACCGCCCGUCGCUCCUACCGAUUGGGUGUGCUGGUGAAAUGUUCGGAUCGGCCGUUUGUCGCGGUUUCCGCGUCAUGUGGCUGAGAAGUUCAUUAAACCCUCCCACCUAGAGGAAGGAGAAGUCGUAACA